AUUGAACGCUGGCGGCAGGCCUAACACAUGCAAGUCGAACGAGUGGCGGACGGGUGAGUAAUGUCUGGGAAACUGCCCGAUGGAGGGGGAUAACUACUGGAAACGGUAGCUAAUACCGCAUACCAUCAGAUGUGCCCACAUGGGAGUAGCUAGUAGGUGGGGUAACGGCUCACCUAGGCGACGAUCACUAGCUGGUCUGAGAGGAUGACCAGCCACACUUGAACUGAGACACGGUCCAGACUCCUACGGGAGGCAGCAGUGGGGAAUAUUGCACAAUGGGCGCAAGCCUGAUGCAGCCAGGCAGCGUGUGUGAAGAAGGCCUUCGGGUUGUAAAGUACUUUCAGCGAGGAGGCGUUACUCGCAGAAGAAGCACCGGCUAACUCCGUGCCAGCAGCUGCGGUAAUAC
rnacentral:rRNA from 1 species